CCCUAGUAACUGCGAGUGAAGCGGGAAAAGCUCAAAUUUAAAAUCUGGUGGUCUUUGGCCAUCCGAGUUGUAAUCUAGAGAAGUGUUAUCCGCGCUGGACCGUGUACAAGUCUCCUGGAAUGGAGCGUCAUAGAGGGUGAGAAUCCCGUCUUUGACACGGACUACCAGGGCUUUGUGAUGCGCUCUCAAAGAGUCGAGUUGUUUGGGAAUGCAGCUCAAAAUGGGUGGUAAAUUCCAUCUAAAGCUAAAUAUUGGCGAGAGACCGAUAGCGAACAAGUACCGUGAGGGAAAGAUGAAAAGAACUUUGGAAAGAGAGUUAAACAGUACGUGAAAUUGCUGAAAGGGAAACGCUUGAAGUCAGUCGCGUUGUCUGGAAAUCAACCUUGCUUUUGCUGGGCGUACUUUCCAGUUAACGGGUCAGCAUCAAUUUUGACCGUUGGAUAAAGUUCAAGGGAAUGUGGCAUCUUCGGAUGUGUUAUAGCCUUUGUUCGCAUACAACGGUUGGGAUUGAGGAACUCAGCACGCCGCAAGGCCGGGUAUUUAUACCACGUUCGUGCUUAGGAUGCUGGCAUAAUGGCUUUAAUCGACCCGUCUUGAAACACGGACCAAGGAGUCUAACAUGCCUGCGAGUGUUUGGGUGGAAAACCCGAGCGCGUAAUGAAAGUGAAAGUUGAGAUCCCUGUCGUGGGGAGCAUCGACGCCCGGACCAGACCUUUUGUGACGGAUCCGCGGUAGAGCAUGUAUGUUGGGACCCGAAAGAUGGUGAACUAUGCCUGAAUAGGGUGAAGCCAGAGGAAACUCUGGUGGAGGCUCGUAGCGAUUCUGACGUGCAAAUCGAUCGUCAAAUUUGGGUAUAGGGGCGAAAGACUAAUCGAACCAUCUAGUAGCUGG
rnacentral:rRNA from 1 species